rnacentral:misc_RNA from 1 species
GAUGAAGAAUGUAGCGAAAUGCGAUACGUAAUGUGAAUUGCAGAAUUCAGUGAAUCAUCGAAUCUUUGAACGCAUAUUGCGCUCUCUGGUAUUCCGGAGAGCAUGCUUGUUUGAGUAUCAGUAAACACCUCAACUUCCAUAUCUUUUUUGAAAUGGGAGUUGGACUUGAGUGAUCCCAACGCUUUUCCUCACCGAAAAGUGGCGGGUUACUUGAAAUGCAGGUGCAGCUGGACUUUUCUCUGAGCUAUAAGCAUAUCUAUUUAGUCUGCCUAAAAAACAGAUUAUUACCUUUGCUGCAGCUAACAUAAAGGAGAUUAGUUCUUGUGCUGACUGAUGCAGGAUUCACAAAGACAGGCUUCGGCCGACUUUGUAAACUCGAUCUCAAAUCAAGUAAGACUACCCGCUGAACUUAAGCAUAUCAAUAAGCGGAGGA